UACGUAGGGUGCAAGCGUUGUCCGGAAUUAUUGGGCGUAAAGAGCUCGUAGGCGGCUUGUCGCGUCGGCUGUGAAAACUCGGGGGCUCAACUCCGAGCUUGCAGUCGAUACGGGCAGACUAGAGUGCGGUAGGGGAGAUUGGAAUUCCUGGUGUAGCGGUGGAAUGCGCAGAUAUCAGGAGGAACACCGAUGGCGAAGGCAGAUCUCUGGGCCGUAACUGACGCUGAGGAGCGAAAGCAUGGGGAGCGAACAGG
rnacentral:rRNA from 1 species